rnacentral:rRNA from 1 species
UUUAUGGAGAGUUUGAUCCUGGCUCAGAGUGAACGCUGGCGGCGUGCCUAAUACAUGCAAGUCGAACGAUGAAGCCCUAGCUUGCUAGGGCAGAUUAGUGGCGCACGGGUGAGUAACGCAUAGAUAACAUGCCCUUUAGUCUAGGAUAGCCACUGGAAACGGUGAUUAAUACUGGAUA